AAAUUGAAGAGUUUGAUCAUGGCUCAGAUUGAACGCUGGCGGCAGGCCUAACACAUGCAAGUCGAGCGGAAACGGCAGCAUUGAAGCUUCGGUGGAUUUGCUGGACGUCGAGCGGCGGACGGGUGAGUAACGGCUGGGAACCUGCCCUGACGCGGGGGAUAACCGUUGGAAACGACGGCUAAUACCGCAUAAUGUCUUAGUUCAUUACGAGCUGGGACCAAAGGUGGCCUCUACAUGUAAGCUAUCGCGUUGGGAUGGGCCCAGUUAGGAUUAGCUAGUUGGUAAGGUAAUGGCUUACCAAGGCGACGAUCCUUAGCUGGUUUGAGAGGAUGAUCAGCCACACUGGGACUGAGACACGGCCCAGACUCCUACGGGAGGCAGCAGUGGGGAAUAUUGCACAAUGGGGGAGACCCUGAUGCAGCCAUGCCGCGUGUGUGAAGAAGGCCUUCGGGUUGUAAAGCACUUUCAGCAGUGAGGAAGGUGGUGUACUUAAUACGUGCACGGCUUGACGUUAGCUGCAGAAGAAGCACCGGCUAACUCCGUGCCAGCAGCCGCGGUAAUACGGAGGGUGCGAGCGUUAAUCGGAAUUACUGGGCGUAAAGCGCAUGCAGGCGGUUUGUUAAGUCAGAUGUGAAAGCCCGGGGCUCAACCUCGGAACCGCAUUUGAAACUGGCAGGCUAGAGUCUUGUAGAGGGGGGUAGAAUUUCAGGUGUAGCGGUGAAAUGCGUAGAGAUCUGAAGGAAUACCAGUGGCGAAGGCGGCCCCCUGGACAAAGACUGACGCUCAGAUGCGAAAGCGUGGGUAGCAAACAGGAUUAGAUACCCUGGUAGUCCACGCCGUAAACGCUGUCUACUUGGAGGUUGAGGUUUAGACUUUGGCUUUCGGCGCUAACGCAUUAAGUAGACCGCCUGGGGAGUACGGCCGCAAGGUUAAAACUCAAAUGAAUUGACGGGGGCCCGCACAAGCGGUGGAGCAUGUGGUUUAAUUCGAUGCAACGCGAAGAACCUUACCUACUCUUGACAUCCAGAGAACUUUCCAGAGAUGGAUUGGUGCCUUCGGGAACUCUGAGACAGGUGCUGCAUGGCUGUCGUCAGCUCGUGUUGUGAAAUGUUGGGUUAAGUCCCGCAACGAGCGCAACCCUUAUCCUUGUUUGCCAGCACAUAAUGGUGGGAACUCCAGGGAGACUGCCGGUGAUAAACCGGAGGAAGGUGGGGACGACGUCAAGUCAUCAUGGCCCUUACGAGUAGGGCUACACACGUGCUACAAUGGCAGAUACAGAGGGCAGCGAAGCUGCGAAGUGGAGCGAAUCCCUUAAAGUCUGUCGUAGUCCGGAUUGGAGUCUGCAACUCGACUCCAUGAAGUCGGAAUCGCUAGUAAUCGUGGAUCAGAAUGCCACGGUGAAUACGUUCCCGGGCCUUGUACACACCGCCCGUCACACCAUGGGAGUGGGCUGCACCAGAAGUAGAUAGCUUAACCUUCGGGAGGGCGUUUACCACGGUGUGGUUCAUGACUGGGGUGAAGUCGUAACAAGGUAGCCCUAGGGGAACCUGGGGCUGGAUCACCUCCUUA
rnacentral:rRNA from 1 species